AUUGAACGCUGGCGGCAGGCCUAACACAUGCAAGUCGGGCGGAGGAAGGGAGCUUGGUUCUGGAUUCAGCGUCGGACGGGUGAGUAAUGCCUAGGAAUCUGCCUGGUAGUGGGGGAUAACGUCCGUAAACAGGCGCUAAUACCGCAUACUACCUGAGGGAGUAAGUGGGGGAUCUUCGAACCUCACGCUUUCAGAUACGCCUAGGUGGGCUUAGCUAGUUGGUGGGGUAAAGGCCACCCACGGCACCAUUCCGUAACUGGCCUGAGAGGAUGAGCAGUGACAUUGGAAUUGGAAAACGGUCAGGACUCCUACGGGAGCAAGAAGUGGGGAAUUUUGGACAAUGAGCGAAAGCCUGAUCCAGAAAUGCCGCGUGUGUGAGGAAGGUCUUCGGAUGUUAAAGCCCUUUAAGUGGGGAGAAAGGGCAGUAAGUUAAUAACUUGAUGUUUUGACGUUACCAAAAGAAUAAGCACCGGCUAACUUCGUG
rnacentral:rRNA from 1 species